rnacentral:lncRNA from 1 species
AUGUCUCUGAUAUGUGGACCUAAAUAUGUUAAUCUCAUUAAAGUAGAGAGAAGAAUAGUUACCACCAGAAGCUGUAGAAGGGGAGGCAAGGGGAAAAGAAAAAGAAACUACGAUGGGUAUCUCUGCAGGUACUUGAAGACUACUGAAAGAAACACAGACAGGACAUGGAUGAAUCUGGAGAACAUCAUCCUCAGCAAACUGACACAAGAACAGAAAAUGAAACACCGCAUAUUCUCACUCAUAGGCGGGUGAUGAAAAAUGAGAACACAUGGACACAGAAAGGGGAGUACUAAACACUGGGGUCUAUUGGGGGGAAAAGGGGAGGGCCAGUGGGAGG